UCCCGCUUAGCUCAGUGGUAGAGCGCGUCACUAGUAAAUCUUUGAUUAAACAAUGACGAGGCCAGUCGUUCGAAUCGGCUAGUGGGAA